rnacentral:piRNA from 1 species
UGGUGGAAAUCUUCACUCACAGGUGAAAGUGU